rnacentral:lncRNA from 1 species
AGCAUCAUGCAGAACAAAUUGGUAAAGGGUAUGAGACCUGAUAUAUUAAAGAACAAAAGGAAGAGCAUUGUGUGGCAUCCUCUAGAUCAAGCACUGCGAUGAUAUGCUGUAUCUUCUUCAUGUGGUACCAACACAGCUCCUUGGAGUCCAACAAAGACUACCAGGCCCAGGAUAGUCAGCACCAUAUACCCUACAAGAGAGGUAUUCAUUAUAACACCAAUGUGAGGGUAAGAUGAGUAAAAUAAUUGAUUUCUCUGAUAAACUACAAGCAGGUGGUGGUUGAUAUACCAUUUGUCAAUAUCAAUGUAGGUGUUACAAUAAGUCCCAAGAAUUAUGUGGGUAAUCAGUUGGAAAAUAUUAGAAGGAGGUCCAUCAUGGAGCUAGAAAAGAAGAGCAUUGGUGGAUUGGAUAGAGUAUAUGGAAUCCAAAUGGAAUUAACACAAAGAAACCAGAAGACUCUCAUGUGUAACAUUGAUUGAUUCUGGGCUUCACCAAGACAAAGGUUUACAUAGGAAGCAUUUGGAGGCUAACUGUGACAUACUGAUCCCUCUCUUGAAAUCCGAUGCACCCAUAGACAAAGUCAAGGUCAUUGUUGGAUGUGCCAAUGGAUCAACUACUCCAGAAGCUAAUGAAAUUUUCCUGGAAUGGAACAUUAUGCCAUGGUUAUUCCAGAUCUCCAUUUAAAUGUUGGAGGAAUGACAGUGCCUUACUUUGAGCAUCUGAAGAAUCUAAAUCAUGCUGACUAUGGAUGAUUGACUUUCAAAUAGGAAAAGAAUUUUAACUAGCACUUGUUCAUGUCUGUUCAAGAGAAGUUAGAAAGAAAAUUUGGAAAGCAUGGUGGAACUAUUCUUGUUACACCCACUUCAGAGUUCCAAGACUCCAUUUAUAUCCCAUCAAAGAAGAAAGACAUUGUGCACUCUGCCUUAGCCUACAGGAUGAAGCAUUUUGCCAGGGACAUUUUGUAAAUAGACAUGAAAUAUGACCUUGGCACCUAGAUCCCAAAAUGCCUUUCUACAUCAAUGCAUUG